rnacentral:rRNA from 1 species
UUUACAGGUGUUGCAUUGGCUGUCGUCAGCUCGUGUCGUGAGAUUGUUCGGUUAAGUCCGCUAACGAGCGCAACCCUCGCUGUGUGUUAUAUGUGUCACACAGGGACUGCUGGUAUUAAGCCGGAGGAAGGUGGGACGACGUCAAGUCAGCAUGACCUUUAUAUCCAGGGCUACACACACGCUACAAUGGUCAGUACAAUGGGUUGCCAAGCCGCGAGGCGGAGCCAAUCCUAAAAAGCUGGCCUCAGUUCAGAUUGCAGUCUGAAACUCGACUGCAUGAAGUCGGAGUUGCUAGUAAACGCAGGUCAGCUAUACUGCGUUGAAUACGUUCCCGGGGCUU